rnacentral:lncRNA from 1 species
GACUCUCUAAGUUGUACCUUCACUGUCAAGUACAGAUCCUCACCUGGACAGUGCUCAGUGAAUGGAAAGACUCUCCUUCUUUUUGAUGAUGAAAGACAGAAUUCACCUGUGGGUAAACCUGAAAAGAAGGGAAAUGCCACUAAGGUGUGCAAUGAUUUGAACCAAAGCCUGAAAGACAUUUUUCAGAAGAUGACGAACCUGGUGUCAGGGCUGUUUGAUCAGUCCAAGGGUAAUCACACCUUGCAGGUCACUGUACAAUCUCAAUAUAAUCAAGGAAUAUUCAUGGAUGGAUGCUGGGCGGGCUUCACGAUUGAUAGACAGUAUCCCUUCUACUUUUAUCCAAAAAACCUGACCUGGAGAGAGAGUCAUCCUGAUGCCAGCAGGACCGUGAGUCAAUGGCAGAACAACAGGGAAAUAGCCCAGAGUCUCAGGACGUGCUCCAUGGGGGAUUUCAGCCAGUGCCUCAGGAAAUUGUUGACAGACUCCAGAGAAGUGCCAAGAUCAACAAUAACGACCUUGGAUCCCACCCAGCCUUCAUCUGCCACCCAGAUUCCACCCACAGUGGACAGUGCCUCAUCUGUGUUUACCACCUGCAGUCAAAAUAUAUUUGUAUUGAUUCUGUGUUUAGCAAUAUUAAUCAUCAAUGCAUUGAUGCCUUAGGUGCCUUUGUGGUUGCUACGAUGGUAAAGAAAAAAGUAAGGAAGGGGCUGGGCUCACUCUUCUUCUUGGUAUAU